GCAAGCUGUAAUUCUGUUACGUUGUAUUAAUGUUGCAAAGGGGGGAGAUCGUUUUGUCUGAUAUGUGUAAUUAGCAGGCAGGAAAACAGCAAGAGGUGAAAACUGUAUGUCUGUGGAGAUUGCAAGACUACCCCCCUCUGGCUGCUGCAAACGCCUGACAUCUCUAUGCAAACUGUCAUUCGAAUGCUUAGAUUAGAAUAUAGAAUGUUCUGAUCAAUUGUAGCAGCCUCAAGCCAAGUGUCUGGGUACCCCAUCAAGGUGCAUGCAGUAUGUGGACCCCUGCACUAACUACAG